AGAGUUUGAUCAUGGCUCAGAUUGAACGCUGGCGGCAGGCCUAACACAUGCAAGUCGAGCGGUAGCACAGAGAGCUUGCUCUCGGGUGACGAGCGGCGGACGGGUGAGUAAUGUCUGGGAAACUGCCUGAUGGAGGGGGAUAACUACUGGAAACGGUAGCUAAUACCGCAUAAUGUCGCAAGACCAAAGUGGGGGACCUUCGGGCCUCAUGCCAUCAGAUGUGCCCAGAUGGGAUUAGCUAGUAGGUGGGGUAACGGCUCACCUAGGCGACGAUCCCUAGCUGGUCUGAGAGGAUGACCAGCCACACUGGAACUGAGACACGGUCCAGACUCCUACGGGAGGCAGCAGUGGGGAAUAUUGCACAAUGGGCGCAAGCCUGAUGCAGCCAUGCCGCGUGUGUGAAGAAGGCCUUCGGGUUGUAAAGCACUUUCAGCGGGGAGGAAGGCGAUAAGGUUAAUAACCUUGUCGAUUGACGUUACCCGCAGAAGAAGCACCGGCUAACUCCGUGCCAGCAGCCGCGGUAAUACGGAGGGUGCAAGCGUUAAUCGGAAUUACUGGGCGUAAAGCGCACGCAGGCGGUCUGUCAAGUCGGAUGUGAAAUCCCCGGGCUCAACCUGGGAACUGCAUUCGAAACUGGCAGGCUAGAGUCUUGUAGAGGGGGGUAGAAUUCCAGGUGUAGCGGUGAAAUGCGUAGAGAUCUGGAGGAAUACCGGUGGCGAAGGCGGCCCCCUGGACAAAGACUGACGCUCAGGUGCGAAAGCGUGGGGAGCAAACAGGAUUAGAUACCCUGGUAGUCCACGCCGUAAACGAUGUCGAUUUGGAGGUUGUGCCCUUGAGGCGUGGCUUCCGGAGCUAACGCGUUAAAUCGACCGCCUGGGGAGUACGGCCGCAAGGUUAAAACUCAAAUGAAUUGACGGGGGCCCGCACAAGCGGUGGAGCAUGUGGUUUAAUUCGAUGCAACGCGAAGAACCUUACCUGGUCUUGACAUCCACAGAACUUAGCAGAGAUGCUUUGGUGCCUUCGGGAACUGUGAGACAGGUGCUGCAUGGCUGUCGUCAGCUCGUGUUGUGAAAUGUUGGGUUAAGUCCCGCAACGAGCGCAACCCUUAUCCUUUGUUGCCAGCGGUUAGGCCGGGAACUCAAAGGAGACUGCCAGUGAUAAACUGGAGGAAGGUGGGGAUGACGUCAAGUCAUCAUGGCCCUUACGACCAGGGCUACACACGUGCUACAAUGGCAUAUACAAAGAGAAGCGACCUCGCGAGAGCAAGCGGACCUCAUAAAGUAUGUCGUAGUCCGGAUUGGAGUCUGCAACUCGACUCCAUGAAGUCGGAAUCGCUAGUAAUCGUAGAUCAGAAUGCUACGGUGAAUACGUUCCCGGGCCUUGUACACACCGCCCGUCACACCAUGGGAGUGGGUUGCAAAAGAAGUAGGUAGCUUAACCUUCGGGAGGGCGCUUACCACUUUGUGAUUCAUGACUGGGGUGAAGUCGUAACAAGGUAACCGUAGGGGAACCUGCGGUUGGAUCACCU
rnacentral:rRNA from 3 species